GUUAAAAGCUCGUCGUUGUAUUUCUGUUGAGGCGACGUGUCGCCCUAUGGGUGCGCAACUGGCUCGGCUUCGGCAUCUUCUUGGAGAGCGCAUCUGCACUUAACUGUGUGGAUCGUACUUCAAGUCAGUUACUUUGAGGAAUUGUGAGUGUUUCAAGCAGGCUUGCGCCGUUGAACCCGUUAGCAUGGAAUAAUAGAAUAGGACCUCGGUUCUAUUUUGUUGGUUUUGAGGGCUGGGGCAGCGAUUGAUAGGGACGGAUGGGGGCGUCCGAACUUUACUGUCAGAGGUGAAAUUCUUAGAUCGGUCAAAGGCGAACUACUGCGAACGCAUUCGCCAAGAAUGUUUUCUUUAAUCAAGAACGAAAGUUAGGGGAUCGAAGACGAUCAGAUACCGUCCUAGUCUUAACCAUAAACGUGACUGACUAGAGAUUGGAGGUUGUGAUUCACAAACUCCAUCAGCACCUCUAUGUGUAAACAAAGUCUUUGAGUUCUGGGGGGAGUAUGGUCGCAAGACUGAAACUUAAAGGAAUUGACGGAAGGGCACCACCAGGAGUGGGACCUGCGGCUUAAUUUGACUCAACACGGGGAAACUUACCAGAUCAAGACAUAGUAAGGAUUGACAGAUUGAGAGUUCUCUCUCGAUUCUAUGGGCGGUGGUGCAUGGCCGUUCUUAGUUGGUGGAGUGAUGUGUCUGGUUAAUUUCGUUAACGAACGAGACCUUAACUUGUUGAAUAGUUAAUCGUAACCUCGGUUACGUUGGAAUCUUCUUAGAGGGACUUUGUGUGAUCAACGCAAGGAAGUUUGAGGCGAUAACAGGUCUGUGAUGCCCUUAGAUGUUCUGGGAUGCACGCGCGUUACACUGAUUCGUUCAAUGAGUUUAUGACCUUGCCUGAUGAGGUGGGGGAUUUUUUUCGAAUCGCAUCGUGAUGGGGAUCGAGUAUUGUAACUGUUAGUCUUCAACGA
rnacentral:rRNA from 1 species